rnacentral:rRNA from 1 species
GAUGAACGCUGGCGGCGUGCCUAAUACAUGCAAGUCGAGCGAAUGGAUUGAGAGCUUGCUCUUGUGAAGUUAGCGGCGGACGGGUGAGUAACACGUGGGUAACCUGCCCAUCAGACUGGGAUAACUACGGGAAACCGGGGCUAAUACCGGAUAACAUUUUGAACCGCAUGGUUCGAAAUUGAAAGGCGGCUUCGGCUGUCACCUAUGGAUGGACCCGCGUCGCAUUAGCUAGUUGGUGAGGUAACGGCUCACCAAGGCAACGAUGCGUAGCCGACCUGAGAGGGUGAGCGGCCACACGGGGACUGAGACACGGCCCAGACUCCUACGGGAGGCAGCAGUAGGGAACCUUCCGCAAUGGACGAAAGUCUGACGGAGCAACGCCGCGUGAGUGAUGAAGGCUUUCGGGUCGUAAAACUCUGUUGUUAGGGAAGAACAAGUGCUAGUUGAAUAAGCUGGCACCUUGACGGUACCUAACCAGAAAGCCACGGCUAACUACGUGCCAGCAGCCGCCGUAA